AUUAAACGCUGGCGGCAUGCCUUACACAUGCAAGUCGAACGGUAGCGCGGGGCAACCUGGCGACGAGUGGCGAACGGGUGAGUAAAGCAUCGGAACGUGCCCUGGAAUGGGGGAUAACGUAGCGAAAGUUACGCUAAUACCGCAUAUUCUGUGAGCAGGAAAGCAGGGGAUCGCAAGACCUUGCGUUCUGGGAGCGGCCGAUGUCGGAUUAGCUAGUUGGUGGGUAAAAGCCUACCAAGGCGACGAUCCGUAGCGGGUCUGAGAGGAUGAUCCGCCACACUGGGACUGAGACACGGCCCAGACUCCUACGGGAGGCAGCAGUGGGGAAUUUUGGACAAUGGGCGGAAGCCUGAUCCAGCCAUGCCGCGUGAGUGAAGAAGGCC
rnacentral:rRNA from 1 species